CCAGUCUUUUUCUUUAUAUAUGAUCAGUGCUGUCAAUAUGAGAGGAAAUAUUCUUGUUUGCGCACUUACAAUUUGAAUAGAAAUAACUAUAUAAACAUCUCUCGUGUUUUAUUUAUAAAUCUUUUGUGUUUUUUUACUGAUCUUCUGUGAAACGAAUCAUACAACAUAAUAACAAUUGUUAUGGACUACAUAACAAUUUCUCCAUCAAUUUCACAUGGCAAAUAUCUUUCACCUCUUUUGCAUUUUUCAAUAAUCUGAUCUCCAGUAAGAUCCUUAAAUAGGUCCCAACUAUUAAUCGUAUAGGCUUCCACACAAUCUAGAUAGCAAAGGUACUCAAUUUCUUCAGGAGUUUUACAAUUUAUCACUGUCCCAGGAAAUAAAACCAAGACGAAAAUGCAAAUUUGCAACACCGUCAUAAUUUGCUUAUGACACAUUUCUAUUUGAUAUAUAUUUCCUGCAAAAUAAUAUUUAUGUGAGUGCCAAUAAAAAUUCUUGGUAACCUUCUUUUCUGAAACUAAUCGGCACCUUAUAACAAGAAGGCGUCCUUUUAAAGUUUGCCCCUAAAAGAAAAGGUAGAAAUAUCUACUGAAAUUUUUAAAAUCCACAUGCCCAAAUACAUAUAGCAACAAGUAUACAAAUAAUUUCAAAAGACAAAUAAAUUAAUGUAAGUUUACUUACGCAACAAACUAUAUCUGUAAAAUAGUUUUAUUCUUAUUGGUAAUGCUUUAUCAAGUUUGUGUGAGACACAAGAGAUGUUUAC
rnacentral:lncRNA from 1 species